GAGAAGUGAUGGGUACUGGCAACAACUAUUUUCAUGGACAUAUUCUAAAACCACUAGAGAAUUCGCUACCUCUCAGAGCCAUUGAUGCUUUGAGCUAUCUUUAUAAACAGGGCACAAAUGUUUACUGCUAAGGUUUACAAGAAAAGGGCUACUAACUUAUUUAAAAACAAACCAACUUUUAACUAGAGUGGACAAAGCACCUUUGAGUACUUCGCAAAAUUGGAGCAGAUAGAGAAUUUAAGCUUCAAGUAUUUUCUGGUUUUAAAAAGAAUACACGUUUUCUUUACUCUGUAGCAGCCGGGGAAGGUCACACAAAGUUUGUAUCAGGUAAGGCCAACUGCCACCUUGGGUAGCCUAUGGUCAUGUUCAGCCAUGACAAUGACUCAGAACUCACAGACUAACGUGAAGGAAACAGCAUCCAUUUGAAGACCCAUGUUCCCAUCCACAGCUCUGUGCCCUGAGGGAGAGAUAAGAUUUGGAUGGAGAAAUAGAUUUCUAAAGAUCAUCCUACAAUAUUUUCUUUGGAAACUGGUUUAGCCCAGGAUAUUUUAAGAGAGACGAGGUGGCCUAUUUAUCUUGUCUACGUGAAUGGUAUUUGUAUAUUCAUAAGCUAUUUUUGGUAAGAAUUUUAAAUCUUUUAGCAGAAUGCCUACAGGCAUCAUGACCUUUGCCUUCCUUAAAAACACCAAUUGUACAAACACUUUAUAAAAAGCUAAUUAUUGAUGUUAAGACAUGACCCCACAUAAAACUGCUUGUUGAUCACUUGCCCUCUUAAGCCUGACAUCCAUAAGCAUAACCCUUGUUACAUUGUUCUUUUUGAUGUAAUUUGUAGAAAUGUUUUUUAGUUAAUAACAGAAAAUGUAUGUACCCUGAAAAAUUACUUAUUUUGUUUAACUUUAGUACAAAGGUGUUUGGGUAUUUUCUUGGGGAGGGGGGAAUUACAAAAGAAGUUUGUCUCCCACAUCAAAAAAAAGUUCAAAGAAAUUAAGUAUUUAUUAUAUUUUUUGCAGAUGUUUCCAUACAACUCACAUAACCUUUUUGUAAAGAGAGAUGAAGAAAUGGAUUAAAGAUUUUUAAUAUUUGAAAUGGUAAAUAGAACUAAUUUAUUUGUACUAUAUUUCUGUUAUUUAUAGAUGUUUCCUUAAUGUUUUACUGUGCAUUACCACUUUAAUUUAAGCCUUAUCCUUGUGAAUUUACCAUUUCUUUUUUAAAACAUGUCUAGAUGCAUAUUUUAAAUAACUGGAAUGUAAAUCACUAGCAUAUCUGAAUUCCCAAAUGUAAUUUUUAAAAAUUAUUUUGGUUUGGAAAAAAAAAGAUUCAUUUGAAAGCUUUCAGAUGGAGGGGUGGGGAACAUUUUUAUGGCUUUAUGAAUUGGAAUUUCAUAGGCUUAUCUACCUAGAUUGUGUGCGGACAAAAAAAAAUUGUAAAUAGAUGAAUGUUUCCCAUAAUGUAAAAAG
rnacentral:lncRNA from 1 species